AGAGAGAGAGAGAGAGAGAGAGAGAGAGAGAGAGAGAGAGAGAGAGGGAGAGAGAGACAGAGAGAGAAAGGGAGAGAGAGACAGAGAGAGAAAGGGAGAGAGAGAGACAGAGAGAGAAAGGGAGAGAGAGAGACAGAGAGAGACAUUAUCAAUGGACAGGUAAUGUUAUGCUGAAGAGAUUAAACGGAUAGAUCAUUCUGGAACUAGUCAGAGAGGAAUUGAUUGGCUUUGUAGGAGUGUGUCAGAAACAAUGGAGAUGUUUAGAAGUUAAUGUAGAGGUAAGAGUAUCUAGUGUAGAGGUAAGAGGCGCUAGAGGAGCUAAUGUAGAGGUAAGAGGAGCUAAUGUAGAGGUAAGAGUAUCUAGUGUAGAGGUAGGUGGAGCUAGAGGAGCUAAUGUAGAGGUAAGAGUAUCUAAUGUAGAGGUAAGAGUAUCUAAUUUAGAGGUAAGAGGAGCUAAUGUAGAGGUACGAGUAUCUAAUGUAGUGGUAAGAGUAUCUAAUGUAGAGGUAGUCCUGGAGUCGCCUCUUCACUGUUGACGUUGAGACUGGUGUUUUGAGGGUACUAUUUAAUGAAGCUGUCAGUUGAGGACUUGUGAGGCGUCUGUUUCUCAAACUAGACACUCUAAUGUACUUGUCCUCUUUCUCAGUUGUGCACCGGGGCCUCCCACUCCUUUCUAUUCUGGUUAGAGCCAGUUUGAGCUGCUCUAUGAAGGGAAUAGUACACAGCGUUGUACGAGAUCUUCAGUUUCUUGGCAAUUUCUCAAAUGGAAUGGCCUUAAUUUCUCCGAACAAUAAUAGACUGACGAGUUUGAGAAGAAGGUUCUUUGUUUCUGGCCAUUUGAGCCUGUAAUCAAACCCACAAAUGCUGAUGCUCAAGAUACUCAACUAGUCUAAAGAAGGACAGUUUUAUUGCUUCUUUAGUCAGAUCCACAGUUUUCAGCUGUGCUAACAUAAUUGCAAAAGGGUUUUCUAAUGAUAAAUUAGCCUUUUAAAUGAUAAACUUGGAUUAGCUAACACAAUGUGCCAUUGGAAUGAUGAUAAUGAUAAUGGGCCUCUGAUAAUGGGCCUCUGAUAAUGGGCCUCUGUACGCCUAUAUAGAUAUUCCAUUAAAAGUAAAUCUGCCGUUUCCAGCUACAAUCGUAAUUUACAUCAUUAACAAUUUCUACACUGUAUUUCUGAUCAAUUUGAUGUUAUUUUAAUGGAAUUUUUUCUUUUUUUUUUCAAAAACAAGGAGAUU